GUGGGGAUUGUAACUAUGGCGGGCCUGCACAACGAAAGUGAACAGGAGCCGCUCUUAGGCGACACACCUGGAAGCAGAGAAUGGGACAUUUUAGAGACUGAAGAGCAUUAUAAGAGCCGAUGGAGAUCUAUUAGGAUUUUAUAUCUUACUAUGUUUCUCAGCAGUGUAGGGUUUUCUAUAGUGAUACUGUCCAUAUGGCCAUAUCUCCAAAAGAUUGAUCCGACAGCUGAUACCAGUUUUUUGGGCUGGGUUAUUGCUUCAUAUAGUCUUGGCCAAAUGGUAGCUUCACCUGUAUUUGGUUUAUGGUCUAAUUAUAGACCAAGAAAAGAGCCUCUUAUUGUCUCCAUCUUGAUUUCCGUGGCAGCCAACUGCCUCUAUGCAUAUCUCCACAUCCCAGCUUCUCAUAAUAAAUACUACAUGCUGGUUGCUCGUGGAUUGUUGGGAAUUGGAGCAGGAAAUGUAGCAGUUGUUAGAUCAUAUACUGCUGGUGCUACUUCCCUUCAGGAAAGAACAAGUUCCAUGGCAAACAUAAGCAUGUGUCAAGCAUUAGGUUUUAUUCUAGGUCCAGUUUUUCAGACUUGUUUUGCAUUCAUUGGAGAAAAAGGUGUGACAUGGGAUGUGAUUAAACUGCAGAUAAACAUGUAUACAACACCAGUUUUGCUUAGCGCCUUCCUGGGAAUUUUAAAUAUUAUUCUGAUCCUUGCUAUACUAAGGUAAUUAGAUAGAAAUGAUAAAACUAUUUUUGUAGAUUGUGAAAUUUAGUAAGCUUUGUAAUUGUUGGAAGAUA
rnacentral:sRNA from 1 species